rnacentral:tRNA from 1 species
GCCUGGGUGGCUCAGUCGGUUGAGCGUCUGACUUCGGCUCAGGUCAUGAUCUCACGGUCUGUGAGUUCGAGCCCCGCGUCAGGCU